rnacentral:rRNA from 1 species
CCUACGGGUGGCAGCAGUGGGGAAUAUUGGACAAUGGGGGCAACCCUGAUCCAGCCAUGCCGCGUGUGUGAAGAAGGCCCUCGGGUUGUAAAGCACUUUCAGUGAGGAAGAACGCCUGGUGGUUAAUACCCAUCAGGAAAGACAUCACUCACAGAAGAAGCACCGGCUAACUCCGUGCCAGCAGCCGCGGUAAUACGGAGGGUGCGGGCGUUAAUCGGAAUUACUGGGCGUAAAGCGCGCGUAGGUGGCUUGAUAAGCCGGUUGUGAAAGCCCCGGGCUCAACCUGGGAACGGCAUCCGGAACUGUCAAGCUAGAGUGCAGGAGAGGAAGGUAGAAUUCCCGGUGUAGCGGUGAAAUGCGUAGAGAUCGGGAGGAAUACCAGUGGCGAAGGCGGCCUUCUGGACUGACACUGACACUGAGGUGCGAAAGCGUGGGUAGCAAACAGGAUUAGAUACCCGAGUAGUC